rnacentral:snRNA from 1 species
GUGCUCGCUUCGGCAGCACAUAUACUAAAAUUGGAAUGAUACAGAGAAGGUUAGCAUGGACCCUGCCCAAGGAUGACACACAAAUUCGUGAAGAGUUCCAUAUUAAA